UACGUAGGGACCAAGCGUUGUUCGGAUUUACUGGGCGUAAAAGGCGCGUAGGCGGCAAUUCAAGUCAGUUGUGAAAUCUCCGAGCUUAACUCGGAACGGUCAACUGAUACUGUUUUGCUAGAGUGCAGAAAGGGCAACCGGAAUUCUUGGUGUAGCGGUGAAAUGCGUAGAUAUCAAGAGGAACACCUGAGGCGAAGGCGGGUUGCUAGGCUGACACUGACGCUGAGGCGCGAAAGCUAGGGUAGCAAACGGG
rnacentral:rRNA from 1 species